GGGGGUGUAGCUCAAAUGGUAGAGCGCUCGUUUAGCAUACGAGAAGUACCGGGAUCGAUACUCGGCACCUCCA
rfam:Papilio xuthus contig12513, whole genome shotgun sequence.